rnacentral:tRNA from 1 species
GAAGGGAUGGCUGAGUGGUUGAAAGUGAUGGUUUGCUAAAUCAUUAUAUAUAAAUAAUAAAGUAUAUCGUAGGUUCGAAUCCUACUCCCUUUA